rnacentral:rRNA from 1 species
AUGCAAGUCGAACGGUAACAGGUCUUCGGACGCUGACGAGUGGCGAACGGGUGAGUAAUACAUCGGAACGUGCCCAGUCGUGGGGGAUAACUACUCGAAAGAGUAGCUAAUACCGCAUACGAUCUGAGGAUGAAAGCGGGGGACCUUCGGGCCUCGCGCGAUUGGAGCGGCCGAUGGCAGAUUAGGUAGUUGGUGGGAUAAAAGCUUACCAAGCCGACGAUCUGUAGCUGGUCUGAGAGGACGACCAGCCACACUGGGACUGAGACACGGCCCAGACUCCUACGGGAGGCAGCAGUGGGGAAUUUUGGACAAUGGGCGAAAGCCUGAUCCAGCAAUGCCGCGUGCAGGAUGAAGGCCUUCGGGUUGUAAACUGCUUUUGUACGGAACGAAAAAGCUUCUCCUAAUACGAGAGGCCCAUGACGGUACCGUAAGAAUAAGCACCGGCUAACUACGUGCCAGCAGCCGCGGUAAUACGUAGGGUGCGAGCGUUAAUCGGAAUUACUGGGCGUAAAGCGUGCGCAGGCGGUUAUGUAAGACAGAUGUGAAAUCCCCGGGCUCAACCUGGGAACUGCAUUUGUGACUGCAUGGCUAGAGUACGGUAGAGGGGGAUGGAAUUCCGCGUGUAGCAGUGAAAUGCGUAGAUAUGCGGAGGAACACCGAUGGCGAAGGCAAUCCCCUGGACCUGUACUGACGCUCAUGC